GACGAACGCUGGCGGCGUGCUUAACACAUGCAAGUCGAACGGAAAGGCCCUGCUUUUGUGGGGUGCUCGAGUGGCGAACGGGUGAGUAACACGUGAGUAACCUGCCCUUGACUUUGGGAUAACUUCAGGAAACUGGGGCUAAUACCGGAUAGGAGCUCCUGCUGCAUGGUGGGGGUUGGAAAGUUUCGGCGGUUGGGGAUGGACUCGCGGCUUAUCAGCUUGUUGGUGGGGUAGUGGCUUACCAAGGCUUUGACGGGUAGCCGGCCUGAGAGGGUGACCGGCCACAUUGGGACUGAGAUACGGCCCAGACUCCUACGGGAGGCAGCAGUGGGGAAUAUUGCCCAGUGGGGGGGAGCCUGAUGCAGCAACGCCGCGUGCGGGAUGACGGCCUUCGGGUUGUAAACCGCUUUCGCCUGUGACGAAGCGUGAGUGACGGUACUGGGUAAAGAAGCACCGGCUAACUACGUG
rnacentral:rRNA from 1 species